GCGGAGGCUCACGCCUGUAAUCCUAGCACUUUGGGAGGCUGAAGUGGGUGGAUCGCCGGAGGUCAGGAGUUCAGGACUAGCCUGGCCAACAUGGCGAAACCCCCUCGUCUCUACUAAAAAUAUGAACGUUAGCCGAGCAUGGUGGUGAGUGCUACUCGGGAGGCUGAGGCAGG